rnacentral:tRNA from 1 species
CGGGGCGUGGCGCAGCCUGGUAGCGCGCUGCAUUUGGGGUGCAGAGGUCGGAGGUUCGACUCCUCUCGCCCCGACCA